CGGUGCCAAACAUGGUCAGCCAGCCAUGUGUGCGUCAAAGAAUAGUUCUGCCAGGAGCUAUCUUUGUAAGCAAGCUGUGGGGCUCUGCUUCAUAGUAUAAUAAAGUGAAAGUUGUAUGGUCAUGUCUGCUGUACCUUUCUCUGGAAUCCCCCAAAGGUCUCCAUCAACUUGCUCCAUUAACAAAACUUUUUCGCGCCAUCGAGGGGAGCUCCCAAAAGGUAGGACAGCAAGAGCAACGUUAAAUUUCACAAUCUUAGAAUAAUUGGGUCGUCUUACCGCCAAAAAAAAGGAGGUAAUUUAAACGGUAUAUUUCAUUUUGACACGUAAAAUUAGAUCUUUUUUAAAAGAUGAAAGCAAAUUAGACACGACUCAUAACUAACGGUUACGCGAGAAAAAAAACUGUUUUCUAGAACACCAAACACAUUUUGUAGAAGGUGGUUGGAGGACGCCUGCCGUAUGUAAUUUGUUCCUUGUGAACAAAGAACGCCAAUUCAUUUGUCUGUAACACAAUGGUUUGAAAUAUCCAUCAUUCCAAUCUGAAAGUAGAAACAAUUGGAUGAUGGAUGAAGUAAUUCAAAGGUUAAUAUUUACCGAUCCAUCAUCUUCUAUAUAGGUUACGUAUACCUUAUAAAGAAAGAGACCUUGCUCCAACCCAGUGCCGAAAAAAAGGAGGAUAUUAAGACCUGCUUCGUAACCAGACAGAAUGACCGUGGCAAUCGCUUCAUCCGUAUGGGUAAAUUUUGUAUAAACAUAGCAUGGUACACUAUUCAUAACAGCAGAACGUUGCGGCCAAGCACAGAGGUUAAACGUGUGAAGGAGUGAUGCGGUAGGCAUAAGUCAAAUUAUUUGCUUCUUUAUUGCCUUAUUACUAGAAACAUUGGACAUGUUUAUCCGACUAAAAGUGAGCGUUUCUCUUCUUUGAAUAACACCUACCCCAGGGCAAAAAAUCACCAUGUUUUGCAGUAUGAAAAUAGAAUGAACCUUUUUAGACAUUUAGAAAGGUGCACAAUGGUAAACAGUUGCGUCCUCGGUACCAAUACGGCGAGACGUUGUUAGCUUGUGCAGCCGAAUUUUACAAGUGGACACAUGCAGGUUCUUACGCUGUCGUUGAAGGAAGACAAGAGCAGGAUGGCUUUUCGACUAGGAGGGCUUGUAUUCCUGUCGCUGUGCAUGGCGAUUGUUUUGACUAGUGGACUUCAGAAUCCUGGCUCAUCAGCUCGCCGUCCGGAAGCUUUGUUUCAGUCCCUCUUUCUAUGGACCUCGGCAUUAUUAUGCUUUUACGAUUGCUUAGUUAUGAUUGCAAUCUAUCGGAACGCCGAAGUCAACAUCAACCUGGAAGUGCACAUCAAAGGAAACUAAAAUAAUCUAGUGAAUCCGAAAGACUCACCUGAAAUUCAACGUGGCGCCAAUUGCAUCAUGAAAUCAGGUUAAUCGACCUGGACUACAAACUUCUUGGACGUGGAUCGGUUCGUGAAUAUAACCACACACGUACAAAUCUCGAUUACAAAAUGCACUGGAUGAUUCAAGCCGAAUUACUCAAGACUACUUACAGCGCUAGAUAAUUUAAAUAGAAAAUUAUUGUGUGAUACCGUGAUAGGGUAUUCUCAUAAUAAACAGACUAUAUGGAAGGAUUUUGCCCUCAUACGUCUAAACCUGAACAGUACUUUGCAUACGCUGGCGUCAGCAUAUUAGGACUUGCUGCUGAACACGAACGCUUCAUUUAUCCAUUUAAACAGCAUAAAUAUAAUAACAGAGUCAGUUUCCCAUGACCAAAUUUACUUUCAAAGUGAAAAGAGAAUUCGCUCCAUUUGCAGAUCGCUGAAAUCCAUAUACAGCGAUUGAGGGCUACUGUCAGAACUUGAUGGAUCAAUGGACGCCCCCGGGUCUAAAGACUCGUCUAGCUUAGUUUAACUGGAUGCCGCAUCCAGUUAAGACCAUUUACAUGUCAACAACUGAAUAGUAUCUAUUCAAUGUGCUAUGGAAACUUGAUAUCGUUCGAUGUAUGCGUGAAAGCGUGUAGUCUGUCACUCAAGGCUUCAAACCAGAUUUUACCACAGCUGGUUAUGGAAGAUGUGUUUGAAUGCUUUUCCGUUGUGGCGUUUUACGAUGAAUGAUGGUCUACAUUUUCGUUCACUACCUCUGCGUUACUUUAACGAUGUUGAGUAGCAUUUUAAUGAAUAGCCAUCAAAAUGUUAAUUGUUAUUACAAAGCGAUGGCGAGUUGCAUGGGAGCGACCGGAAACUGCAAUAGAAUUCUAUUUGAAAUUAAGACAAAAGAAAUAAAACGAAAUCGACCGAAACAGGAAGAUCGUUUUUCUUUUAAUGAGUGAUGAGGCAACUGUGAAUAAGCGGCAAUUAGCAACAAUUUUCGAAAAAAAAAAUAAACAUUGCGCAGAGCCAAUAAAGUAGAGGCUUUAAAUGCCUAAAAAUAGGAAAAUUG
rnacentral:lncRNA from 1 species